rnacentral:rRNA from 1 species
GAUGAACGCUGACAGAAUGCUUAACACAUGCAAGUCUACUUGAAUUUGGGUUUUUUAACUUAGAUUUGGGUGGCGGACGGGUGAGUAACGCGUAAAGAACUUGCCUCACAGUUAGGGACAACAUUUGGAAACGAAUGCUAAUACCUGAUAUUAUGAAUAUAUGGCAUCAUAUAAUUAUGAAAGCUAUAAGCGCUGUGAGAGAGCUUUGCGUCCCAUUAGCUAGUUGGAGAGGUAACGGCUCACCAAGGCGAUGAUGGGUAGCCGGCCUGAGAGGAUGAACGGCCACAAGGGGACUGAGACACGGCCCUUACUCCUACGGGAGGCAGCAGUGGGGAAUAUUGGACAAUGGACCAAGAGUCUGAUCCAGCAAUUCUGUGUGCACGAUGACGUUUUUCGGAAUGUAAAGUGCUUUCAGUUGGGAAGAAAAAAAUGACGGUACCAACAGAAGAAGUGACGGCUAAAUACGUG